rnacentral:rRNA from 1 species
GAUGAACGCUGGCGGCGUGCCUAAUACAUGCAAGUCGAGCGAACGGACGAGAAGCUUGCUUCUCUGAUGUUAGCGGCGGACGGGUGAGUAACACGUGGAUAACCUACCUAUAAGACUGGGAUAACUUCGGGAAACCGGAGCUAAUACCGGAUAAUAUUUUGAACCGCAUGGUUCAAAAGUGAAAGACGGUCUUGCUGUCACUUAUAGAUGGAUCCGCGCUGCAUUAGCUAGUUGGUAAGGUAACGGCUUACCAAGGCAACGAUGCAUAGCCGACCUGAGAGGGUGAUCGGCCACACUGGAACUGAGACACGGUCCAGACUCCUACGGGAGGCAGCAGUAGGGAAUCUUCCGCAAUGGGCGAAAGCCUGACGGAGCAACGCCGCGUGAGUGAUGAAGGUCUUCGGAUCGUAAAACUCUGUUAUUAGGGAAGAACAUAUGUGUAAGUAACUGUGCACAUCUUGACGGUACCUAAUCAGAAAGCCACGGCUAGCUACGUGCCAGCAGCCGCGGUAAUGCGUAGGUGGCAAGCGUUAUCCGGAAUUAUUGGGCGUAAAGCGCGCGUAGGCGGUUUUUUAAGUCUGAUGUGAAAGCCCACGGCUCAACCGUGGAGGGUCAUUGGAAACUGGAAAACUUGAGUGCAGAAGAGGAAAGUGGAAUUCCAUGUGUAGCGGUGAAAUGCGCAGAGAUAUGGAGGAACACCAGUGGCGAAGGCGACUUUCUGGUCUGUAACUGACGCUGAUGUGCGAAAGCGUGGGGAUCAAACAGGAUUAGAUACCCUGGUAGUCCACGCCGUAAACGAUGAGUGCUAAGUGUUAGGGGGUUUCCGCCCCUUAGUGCUGCAGCUAACGCAUUAAGCACUCCGCCUGGGGAGUACGACCGCAAGGUUGAAACUCAAAGGAAUUGACGGGGACCCGCACAAGCGGUGGAGCAUGUGGUUUAAUUCGAAGCAACGCGAAGAACCUUACCAAAUCUUGACAUCCUUUGACAACUCUAGAGAUAGAGCCUUCCCCUUCGGGGGACAAAGUGACAGGUGGUGCAUGGUUGUCGUCAGCUCGUGUCGUGAGAUGUUGGGUUAAGUCCCGCAACGAGCGCAACCCUUAAGCUUAGUUGCCAUCAUUAAGUUGGGCACUCUAAGUUGACUGCCGGUGACAAACCGGAGGAAGGUGGGGAUGACGUCAAAUCAUCAUGCCCCUUAUGAUUUGGGCUACACACGUGCUACAAUGGACAAUACAAAGGGCAGCGAAACCGCGAGGUCAAGCAAAUCCCAUAAAGUUGUUCUCAGUUCGGAUUGUAGUCUGCAACUCGACUACAUGAAGCUGGAAUCGCUAGUAAUCGUAGAUCAGCAUGCUACGGUGAAUACGUUCCCGGGUCU